rnacentral:rRNA from 1 species
AUACGUAGGGUGCGAGCGUUGUCCGGAAUUACUGGGCGUAAAGAGCUCGUAGGUGGUUUGUCGCGUCGUCUGUGAAAUUCCGGGGCUUAACUCCGGGCGUGCAGGCGAUACGGGCAUAACUUGAGUACUGUAGGGGAGACUGGAAUUCCUGGUGUAGCGGUGAAAUGCGCAGAUAUCAGGAGGAACACCGGUGGCGAAGGCGGGUCUCUGGGCAGUAACUGACGCUGAGGAGCGAAAGCAUGGGUAGCGAACAGGAUUAGAUACCCUGGUAGUCCAUGCCGUAAACGGUGGGCGCUAGGUGUAGGGGUCUUCCACGACUUCUGUGCCGUAGCUAACGCAUUAAGUAAUCCACCUGGGGAGUACGGCCGCAAGGCUGAAACUCAAAGGAAUUGACGGGG